AUUCCGAUUGAUCCCGUCGGACCCCACUGCUAUCGAGGUGGGACUAAGCCAUGCUAGUCGAACGACCAGAACUAUGUCUGGAAGUGGCACACUGCUCAGUAACACGUAGCUAACCUACCCUUAGAACGGAGACAACCCCGAGAAAUUGGGGCUAAUCUGCGAUAGGUAUGAUGUCCUGGAAUGGUAUUAUGCUGAAAGGGGUCCCAAACAUGUUUUGUGACCUGUCUAAGGAUGGGGCUGCGGCCGAUCAGGCAGUUGGUGGGGUAAAGGCCCACCAAACCUUUGACCGGUACGGGCCAUGAGAGUGGUAGCCCGGAGAUGGGCACUGAGACAAGGGCCCAGGCCCUACGGGGCGCAGCAGGCGCGAAACCUCCUCAAUGCACACACGUGUGAAGGGGUUACCUCGAGUGCUACCUGAAGAAGGUGGCUUUUCUUGGGUCUAAAACGCCCGAGGAAUAAGAGGGGGGCAAGACUGGUGUCAGCCGCCGCGGUAACACCAGCCCCUCGAGUGGUGGGGAUGAUUAUUUGGUCUAAAGCGUCCGUAGCCGGCUGAGUAAGUUUCCCGUUAAAUCCAGCGUCUCAAGCGUUGGACUGCGGGAAAUACUGCUCGGCUAGAGAGUGGGAGAGGUCAACGGUAUUCUGGGGGUAGGGGCGAAAUCCUUUGAUCCCCGGAGGACCACCAGUGGCGAAGGCUGUUGACAAGAACACGUCUGACGGUCAGGGACGAAAGCUGGGGUAGCGAACCGGAUUAGAUACCCGGGUAGUCCCAGCCGUAAACGAUGCAUGCUAGGUGUUAGGUUGGCCACGUGCCACCCUAGUGCCGCAGGGAAGCCGUUAAGCAUGCCACCUGGGGAGUACGGCCGCAAGGCUGAAACUUAAAGGAAUUGGCGGGGGAGCACCACCAGGCGUGAAGCCUGCGGUUUAAUUGGAGUCAACGCCGGGAAUCUUACCGGGAGCGACAGCAGAGUGAAGGCCAGGCUGAAGACCUUGCCAGACAAGCUGAGAGGAGGUGCAUGGCCGUCGCCAGUUCGUGCCGUGAGGUGUUCUCUUAAGUGAGAUAACGAACGAGACCCGUGCCACAUGUUGCCAUCAGAUCCUAUAGGGAUGCUGGGCACUCUUGUGGGACCGCAGCCGAUAAGGCUGAGGAAGGUGCGGGCAACGGCAGGUCAGUAUGCCCCGAAUCUCCCGGGCCACACGCGGGCUGCAAUGGUACGGACAGAGGGCUGCAACCCCGAAAGGGGAAGCCAAUCCCUAAACCGUAUCUCAGUUGGGAUUGAGGGCUGCAACCCGCCCUCAUGAACAUGGAAUGCCUAGUAACUGCACGUCAUCAUCGUGCGGUGAAUACGUCCCUGCUCCUUGCACACACUGCCCGUCGAACCACCCGAAUGUCGUUUGGAUGAGGCAUGGUCGAAAGUUGGCCGUGUCGAAUCUGGGCAACGUAAGGAGGGUUAAGUCGUAACAAGGUGGCCGUAGGGGAACCUGCGGCCGGAUCACCUCCUAAGAAA
rnacentral:rRNA from 1 species